rnacentral:lncRNA from 1 species
CAUCUUUGCUUCUGCUUCUCAGUCUUAUCAUCAACUUCCCCUCUUGCCAUCCCUGCCUACUUCUACAAACACACACAUGCACACAGCACAGGCACACACACACACAUACGGGGAUACACACCCACACCCACAACACACACAAACAUGCACGAACAUACUCCCCUCUACUCAGCUCCCAACCUGAUCCAUUCCUUUGCUGUGGAAGUACCCACAAUACUCCCAACUACACACCACCUCUGAUGGUUCCAUUCGUGGAUAAUGAUAACUACAUCAUAAAAGCCUCACUGUGAUGUCUUCAUCUAGGUUUAUACAAAUAAUUCAUUUUGACAAAUAUUUCUUGGACAUCCACUAUUUAUAACAUAUUUGAGGGACACAAAAGUAUAGCUCCUCUCCUCCAGAAACCUACAGUCCUGGUAAAUGACUGAGAGGCAAGUAGAACCAACCAGACUGUAAACUACUAGUAAAUGAAGAUAUUCAUACAUGAGUUGGGAGCCAAGAGGAAACAGCUAUGGAUUUUGAUUGGAAAGCUUGUAGAAGGUUUCCAAAGGAGGAGACCAAAUGACUAAUCAGCAUGGCCUUGUUCUGUCUUCAGUGGGUGCCAUAUAUGAAGGUCUGACAGGAUGGAUCACCCAGGAGUCAGGGCUUUGAGCCCAGCUUUUGAAGGAGAACAGCAGUAUGGUGAUCAGCCACAUUGGUUUGCCCAGGACUGAAGGGAGUUCUCAGGACAUGACACCUUCAGUGUCCAAACCAACAAAGUCUCAGGUGAAGAGGGGACAGGUUGAUCACCCCCAGUAGCCAUGAACCACAUAGACAAAACCAGUUGCCCUUAGGGAGCUCACGUCUUAGAGAAGAGAGACAAAUUGUAAGCUAGAGAAGGAAUGAAAGGAUGUGAUGUCAGGGUGUGAUGGAGAAAAUAAGGCAGAGAGAGGGGAUAGAGAGGGACGGGAAGGCUAGGGCUUGGGGAGUGGUCUACAUUAAGACUGAGUCAUUGGGGAAGGCCUGUCAGAACCAGGAGCAUAGCCAGACAGACUGUCAUGUGGAUGCCUGGGCAGAAACAUUUUAGAUAAGUGCAGCAUGAGCUUCUGUGUGAGGAGACAAAGAGUUGGGGGUGGGAUCAGAGAGUGGCUUUGAGCCAGAUCCCAUAGGCCCAGUCCCCUACAUAUCACUCCAAGAGAGACAGGAUGUUGGAAGGUUUGGGGAGAGAAGUGGCAUCAUUGGAUAUAUAUUUUACAAGGACCAUCCUGGGUGCUAUGUGGGAAAAGAGUGUAGGGAUGGAAGGGUGGAAGCAGGAAGGCUAAGUAGGAGGCUCUUGCAAUACUACAAGAAGAAGACAAAAUGUGGAUCAGAAAGUGCAGGGGCCUCCCACAAGCUCAGCUAAACACCCACCAUGUCAUCACUAGUGCAAAUUACUUAACUUCAUUAGCUUUUAAUCUUCUUAUCUAUGGAGUGGGGGAUUAACAAAUCGUGCAAGUCAAAUGAAAUUAUGGGUAUGAAAAUGACUAGCAGAAGUGCCUAUGGUCCUAUUAUGAAAAUACUGCAAUGCCAUAGGCAUUAAAAUGUUAACUCACUAAUCUGAUUCUUAAAGCCAGAGACUAGCCACACAAAAAAAAAAUCUGAGUGAUUAGUCACACAGAGAUGCAUGUUCCUUUGUACUGGUCAUAUUCUAGUUCUAUUGGUACAGGUUUAGGCUCUUCUGAUUGCAAAUACAAAACAUUAACAAUUUCCUAAAUAUACUUAGCAGUUUUGUGUUCCUACAUCUUUGCUCCUAAGGUCCCUUUACUCAGAGAUGGCCUUCCUUCCACACCCAAUCCUGUCCUACUUGGCUCAAAGUCACCUUCUCCGUGGAAACCUCCCUAGGUCUUUUACUCCCAAUAGGAUCAGAUGCUACUUUCUCAUUAUGGUCAUAAGAUUUUGUAUUUAGUUCUAAUACAUGACAGCCUUUUAUCAUAGCUUUUUAUAUGACUUUUUCUAAUAAGAAAAAAUAGAGGAUGGGGCAGGGUUUAAUUUAUCUUGGAUAUUACAAGGCUAUGCCAUUCACCAUACAGCUUUGUCCCUGGAACAUAGGAGGAAUAUAGGAAAUUCCUUAUUACUCAGCUAUGAAAAACAAUGAAAUGAUACCAUUUGCAGCAACAUGGAUGGAUCUAGAGAUUAUCACACUAAGUGAAGUAAGGCAGAAGAAAAAGUGAUAUCAUUUAUAUGUAGAAUCUAAAAUGAUAAAUGAAUUUAUCGACAAAACAGAAACAAACUCGGCAUAGAGAACAGACUUGUGGUUGCCAAGGGGGAGGGGGAGUGAGGGAGGGAUGAAUUGGGAAUUUGGGGUUAGUGGAUAAAACUAUUGUAUAUAGAAUAGAUAAACAACAGGGUCCUGCUGUAUAGCACAGGGAACUAUAUUCAAUAUCCUGUAAUAAACCAUAAUGGAAAAGAAUAUGCAAAAGAAUAUGAAAAAGAAUAUCUGUGUGCAUAACUGUGUAUAGCAUCACCUUGCUAUACACCAGAAACUAACACAACAUUGGAAAUCAACUGUACUUCAAGAAAAUAAAUUUUUAAAAAAUGAAAUUCCUAAUGAAUUGGGAUUGAAAUGAUUGUGUUAAGAACUUGAUCCCCGUAUACCACUAGGGAAAAUAGAAAUAACAUGCUGUAGCAAAAAGAAUGGAUUUGAAGUCACACCCCUGAGAACACGCUUUACUAAGCUUCGUGGCGUUGUCUACAUCAGUUCAUCUAUCUGAAUCUGUUUCCCUGGCUUUAAGCAGUGGAUACGUUAUCUAUUGCUGCAUAGAAAAUUACCCUGAAACUUGGUAUUCAACAAUUCCUGAGGGUUAGAAUCCAGGAGCCACGUCGCUGGGAGGUUCUGAUUUGGGAUCUCGCUGGCGGCGGGAAAAGACGUCAGCCGGACCCAUCUCUGCUUGAAAGUUGGAGGGAUAGGGAAUCUGCCUCCUGGUUCCCUUUCAGGGUUGGUGGCAGCCAGAUUUUAGUCCCUCUCCAUGUGCGGUCUCCAUAGGGCUGCUCUGGAUGUGGCAGCUGGCUUUUCCCAAAGCAAGUGAUCCAUGAGAGACAGAGGCUAAGGCAGAAGCUGCAGGAUUUAUUAUAACCUAGUCUUAGAAAUGACAUGCCCUGUCAUGUGCUAUAUCCACUGUCCCAUAGGCCAACCCUGGUACCUGUGGGAGAGGUUGCAUGGGUGUGACUACAGGAGACAGGCAUCGCUGGGAAUGACUAUUUAGAAUGAAAAUCGAAGUGUCCUUAGCUUGUCCUGCUAAGAUGCUGAUGAUCUCUGGUUACCCUCCGUCAGACCCCAGGGGGCACACAGCUCUCCAGACCUGACUCCUGUCCACUUUCCCAGCACAUCCUCCUCCCUUCUUUGCCCCAACUCUAUCAAACUUUUUAGUCUCCUGGCUUUCAUCCAUCCUGUUCCCUCUGCUUGGAAUGCUCUUAUUUUCACUGCAAGGGGCUACCCAGUAAGCUCCUCGUGCUGCCAGCCGUCCUCAUGCCCUGCCUCCUGCUGAGGCUUCCUUUCUUCAUUGUCAGGUAGUGUCUUAGGGGGCGUGUCCCCUGUGCCCGGGGGUCAGAAUCAAUCACCCCCGUCCACACCAGAAAGAUUUCCUUUGGAGUUUGUCCUGGAUUAAACACCUGACUGGUCUGUACAGAGUGAUGACAGGAGAAAAAGAAUUAACGUUUCUUCAACUCCCAGCUGCUGCCUCAAGCACUUUCCCAGACAUUAGCCUAUUUUGUCAUACACGUUUUUCCAUUUGGGCAAGUGAUGGUACCUUCAUGGAUCUUGGUCAGCUCACUAGUUAUGUGAGAAUAUUUCCCACAUUUGCCCUGGACACUUCCACUCACCUGUACCUUGCACACAACCUCUCCCUGCCUGGGAUGCUCUCUGCUCCAUCUCCAUGUGUUCAUUCUUACAUAGCCCCCUAGGAUCGAAUCCCAUCUCUGCUCCUUUGGAGCUGAGCAACCUUAGGCAAGUUUCUUAACUUCUCUGAGGUCAGAAAAUAGCUGUAUCUAACAACCACUACUGAUGCUGUGGAGAUGCCUGAUUAGAUGGGUGUUGUCAGGGCCACCUCCAAUAGGAUCUGAGGCCUGGAGGGCUCCGUAAAUGGUGGUUUCCUUUCUUUUCUUUCUUCAGGCUCAAAACAAACAUAGACCCAAAUACCACCCCAUCCCCUCCACCCAGAAUCCAUUCUAUUACAUCUUCCUCCCUACCCGCAAGGUGCCCGUAUGCAGAAGUGUAACCAUAUGUCUCAGAAAUACAAGCCUUGCUGAGGGGGGGAAGAGAGUGUGCCCCAGGCCCUCCAUACCUGGAGGUGGGUCUCAGGAAAGCCAUCCUGUGACAGUGACACGAACAAGAGGAGCUUGUCCAAACUUCUCUGAGCCUCAGUUUCUCUAUCCACAAAAUGGGAAACAUGAAAUCUUCCUGCAAGGAUUAGAUGAGGUAUUUCCAGGAUUUGAAAAGAGUCCCAAGGACUUGGCCUAGAGUAGACGUUCAGUACAUGUUUUAAGCCCUUUCUAGGACGUACAGUUGUUUUGCCCGACUACACCACAGCCACCUAAAUGUGUCACCCAUUUACUAGGGUACAGCCUCACUCAUUAGGCUCCAUGCUGGAAAACUGUUUAGCCCUGGGUCUCAUCUGUUCGGGUUUAUGUCAGCUGUGCUUUCCCUGGUCCCUGAAAGGGAUGUGCUCCUUCCCCAUCAACAUGCCCAAGUUCAUCAUCAAGAGACUUUCAUUACUCAUCUCACGUAGCUUCAUUAUUUAUGUACCAGUCAGAGAUGAUCUUUGGCCUUUUUUUAAUUACAUUUAUUUUUAUUGUCUUCUAUAAUCCUAUCAUAUUUUCAAUUACAUAGCCAUUCAUUCAGCAGUGGGUUUCCCCCCUUUGG